AUUCAGAUGACGAGUCCCGAAUAGGACGAAACGCAUAUUUUGAAU
rnacentral:hammerhead_ribozyme from 1 species